GACGAACGCUGGCGGCGUGCUUAACACAUGCAAGUCGAACGGAAAGGCCCUGCUUUUGUGGGGUGCUCGAGUGGCGAACGGGUGAGUAACACGUGAGUAACCUGCCCUUGACUUUGGGAUAACUUCAGGAAACUGGGGCUAAUACCGGAUAGGAGCUCCUGCUGCAUGGUGGGGGUUGGAAAGUUUCGGCGGUUGGGGAUGGACUCGCGGCUUAUCAGCUUGUUGGUGGGGUAGUGGCUUACCAAGGCUUUGACGGGUAGCCGGCCUGAGAGGGUGACCGGCCACAUUGGGACUGAGAUACGGCCCAGACUCCUACGGGAGGCAGCAGUGGGGAAUAUUGCAAAAUGGGCGGAAGCCUGAUGCAGCAACGCCGCGUGCGGGAUGACGGCCUUCGGGUUGUAAACCGCUUUCGCCUGUGACGAGGCGUGAGUGACGGUAAUGGGUAAAGAAGCACCGGCUAACUACGU
rnacentral:rRNA from 1 species